rnacentral:rRNA from 1 species
CCCAGACUCCUACGGGAGGCAGCAGUGGGGGAUAUUGCACAAUGGGGGGAACCCUGAUGCAGCGACGCCGCGUGGGUGAAGGAGCGUUUCGGCGCGUAAAGCCUUAUCGGCAGGGAAGAAGGAGGACGGUACCUGACUAAGAAGCCCCGGCUAACUACGUGCCAGCAGCCGCGGUAAUACGUAGGGGGCAAGCGUUAUCCGGAUUUACUGGGUGUAAAGGGGGCGCAGACGGCAGCGCAAGCCAGGAGUGAAAGCCCGGGGCCCAACCCCGGGACUGCUCUUGGAACUGCGCGGCUGGAGUGCAGGAGGGGCAGGCGGAAUUCCUGGUGUAGCGGUGAAAUGCGUAGAUAUCAGGAGGAACACCGGUGGCGAAGGCGGCCUGCUGGACUGCAACUGACGUUGAGGCCCGAAAGCGUGGGGAGCAAACAGGAUUAGAUACCCCAGUACU